GAUGAACGCUGGCGGCGUGCCUAAUACAUGCAAGUCGAGCGAACGGACGAGAAGCUUGCUUCUCUGAUGUUAGCGGCGGACGGGUGAGUAACACGUGGAUAACCUACCUAUAAGACUGGGAUAACUUCGGGAAACCGUAGCUAAUACCGGAUAAUAUUUUGAACCGCAUGGUUCAAAAGUGAAAGACGGUCUUGCUGUCAUUUAUAGAUGGAUCCGCGCUGCAUUAGCUAGUUGGUAAGGUAACGGCUUACCAAGGCAACGAUGCAUAGCCGACCUGAGAGGGUGAUCGGCCACACUGGAACUGAGACACGGUCCAGACUCCUACGGGAGGCAGCAGUAGGGAAUCUUCCGCAAUGGGCGAAAGCCUGACGGAGCAACGCCGCGUGAGUGAUGAAGGUCUUCGGAUCGUAAAACUCUGUUAUUAGGGAAGAACAUAUGUGUAAGUAACUGUGCACAUCUUGACGGUACCUAAUCAGAAAGCCACGGCUAACUACGUG
rnacentral:rRNA from 1 species